UGCCAGCAGCCGCGGUAAUACGGAGGGUGCAAGCGUUAAUCGGAAUUACUGGGCGUAAAGAGCGUGUAGGCGGCUCGAUAAGUAGGCUGUGAAAUCCCCGGGCUUAACCUGGGAACUGCGGUCUAAACUGUCGGACUUGAGAGCAGUAGAGGGAGGUGGAAUUCCUGGUGUAGCGGUGAAAUGCGUAGAUAUCAGGAGGAACACCAGUGGCGAAGGCGGCCUCCUGGACUGUUUCUGACGCUGAGACGCGAAAGCGUGGGGAGCAAACAGGAUUAGAUA
rnacentral:rRNA from 1 species